CAGGAGCACAGGGCUGGAUUUAAAUGCCAUCCCUCGGCUCUGCAGGAAGGUGAUGCAUUCCUUCCAGGAUCUACAGCCCGGGACAAACAUUCCCCAGAAGUUUUUGCCUGUUCCUGUACUUUCAGAAAAACUGAAUAAGCUGUAAGAAAACCCCCAAACCUAAAGGAGGAGAAGCACCACCUUGAGCAUCCUCAGCACGCUCCCCGUGAUGGGAAGGCUCCUGUCCCGUUUUGUCCCCUCAGUUCCAGGGGAGGUGUGGAAGACUGAGGCCAGGCUGGAGGGUGCUUGGAGCAACCUGGACCAAUGCAAGAUGUCCCUGCCUGGUGUCAGGGUCAGCUGGAGAAUCAUUUCUUCCUUACUGGGACACGUGUCAGGAACCAGCACAUUCUGGGCAGCUCCCCAGUGUGGUUUGCACCAACUUCUGUCACACUGACUUGGAGCCCUUGGAACUGCAAACCAGGCUUGGUUCAGGCAGUGGCUCUGAAAAGCAUUCUGAGGAGCUGGGGGUGCUGAGCUCUGGGGUUCCUCUCACCAAACCCCAGAAGGGACAGAAAGCCCCGUGGGGACAGCCCUGCACACCUCAGAGGUGAUCCCAACAUCAUCUGUGUCAUCAUUUUAACAUCUCCUAAAAUAAACCACAAAAAUAUUCCUCACUGAGACCUUCCUGGAGCAGCUGGGGAUGAUAUUUGGAGUGGAAAACAGUGGCAGCCUUGGAAUGGACAAGCAGACCUCAUCCAAGGCCCAGGAUUCUGUUUCCUGCAUUCAGAAGGUGCUGCUGGAGGAGUUCCCCUGAUUUGAGCAGCUCAAAAGGACCAUGUGGAGCCCAGGCCCAGGGGGUGAAGGCACAGCACCAUUUUUCCUUUUGUGGUAUCAAGUUUUGAAGCAUCUUCCCAAAGACAGCAAUGACUGAGGAGCUGAACCCUGCACUCAUCCUUGUUUCCUCUCUCUGAAAUGAUGUGUGAGGAGUGAAAUGAAGCGUUUCACUGCUGGAGGAGUUUGCAGCUGAUCCACAGCUGAUACCUGCUUGUUUUGACAGUGAUUCCACACCGUGACUGUGACACCCAGAGCAAGGACAAGGGAGAGAUUUUACAUCGCUGUUGUGUUUGCCGGUGUGAAAAACGAGCUUCAGGCUCCCGAUUUUAAACACUUUAAUAAAAGACAAUGAGACAAUAAAGCAAAAGGUUCCAAGGCUGGGUGCUGGGCAUUCCACCAAGAGCAUCCUUACCUCAGGAAAAACUUUACAUGCAUCAGCCUGUUGCAUAUUCAUAGAUCUUCAUGCAUAAUUCAACCUGUAAAUCAACUUUUUUACUUUUUAAUUUUUUUUCCUUGUGGCUCCUCCUGGUCAGUGCACUCCCUGAUGAUGGAGAUCAAUAAAUCCUUUCCCUGGAGUUCAGGUGUCACCCCUGUCUCCAUCCACACAGGAUAAUCCAAAAAUAUGAAGAAUUUCCUGAUUCUCUUUUUACCAUUCUCUGAGUUAGUUACAUGAACAAAAGCUUUUUACAUCACCACCUUAUAGUCCAAAAAAAAAAAAUUAUCACAUUGCUAACAUCUAAGUUUUGUUAACAGCAGAACUAAAAGGAACUCUGCUCAUACAGCAAAGUUUCCCAACAGUAUUUGAAUAUUUACAAAAAGGCAAUAAUACAAUAUGUAGUUGUAACAACUGGAUGGUUACUGCAGGCUGGCUGCAGCCUGGCUCUCAAACUUCAUCUACACUUACACUGACAUUUACACUUACACUUAGAUUUACACUUCAC